UAGGGAAUCUUCGGCAAUUGACGAAAGUCUGACCGAGCAACGCCGCGUGAGUGAAGAAGGUUUUCGGAUCGUAAAACUCUGUUGUUAGAGAAGAACAAGGACGUUAGUAACUGAACGUCCCCUGACGGUAUCUAACCAGAAAGCCACGGCUAACUACGUGCCAGCAGCCGCGGUAAUACGUAGGUGGCAAGCGUUGUCCGGAUUUAUUGGGCGUAAAGCGAGCGCAGGCGGUUUCUUAAGUCUGAUGUGAAAGCCCCCGGCUCAACCGGGGAGGGUCAUUGGAAACUUGGAGACUUGAGAGCAGAAGAGGAGAGUGGAAUUCAAUGUGUAGCGGUGAAAUGCGUAGAUAUAUAGGGGAGCACCAGUGGCGAAGGCGGCUCUAUGGUCUGUAACUGACGCUGAGGCUCGAAAGCGUGGGGAGCAAACAGG
rnacentral:rRNA from 1 species